AAAUUGAAGAGUUUGAUCAUGGCUCAGAUUGAACGCUGGCGGCAGGCCUAACACAUGCAAGUCGAGCGGUAGCACAGAGAGCUUGCUCUCGGGUGACGAGCGGCGGACGGGUGAGUAAUGUCUGGGAAACUGCCUGAUGGAGGGGGAUAACUACUGGAAACGGUAGCUAAUACCGCAUAAUGUCGCAAGACCAAAGUGGGGGACCUUCGGGCCUCAUGCCAUCAGAUGUGCCCAGAUGGGAUUAGCUAGUAGGUGGGGUAACGGCUCACCUAGGCGACGAUCCCUAGCUGGUCUGAGAGGAUGACCAGCCACACUGGAACUGAGACACGGUCCAGACUCCUACGGGAGGCAGCAGUGGGGAAUAUUGCACAAUGGGCGCAAGCCUGAUGCAGCCAUGCCGCGUGUGUGAAGAAGGCCUUCGGGUUGUAAAGCACUUUCAGCGGGGAGGAAGGCGUUAAGGUUAAUAACCUUAGCGAUUGACGUUACCCGCAGAAGAAGCACCGGCUAACUCCGUGCCAGCAGCCGCGGUAAUACGGAGGGUGCAAGCGUUAAUCGGAAUUACUGGGCGUAAAGCGCACGCAGGCGGUCUGUCAAGUCGGAUGUGAAAUCCCCGGGCUCAACCUGGGAACUGCAUUCGAAACUGGCAGGCUAGAGUCUUGUAGAGGGGGGUAGAAUUCCAGGUGUAGCGGUGAAAUGCGUAGAGAUCUGGAGGAAUACCGGUGGCGAAGGCGGCCCCCUGGACAAAGACUGACGCUCAGGUGCGAAAGCGUGGGGAGCAAACAGGAUUAGAUACCCUGGUAGUCCACGCCGUAAACGAUGUCGAUUUGGAGGUUGUGCCCUUGAGGCGUGGCUUCCGGAGCUAACGCGUUAAAUCGACCGCCUGGGGAGUACGGCCGCAAGGUUAAAACUCAAAUGAAUUGACGGGGGCCCGCACAAGCGGUGGAGCAUGUGGUUUAAUUCGAUGCAACGCGAAGAACCUUACCUGGUCUUGACAUCCACAGAACUUUCCAGAGAUGGAUUGGUGCCUUCGGGAACUGUGAGACAGGUGCUGCAUGGCUGUCGUCAGCUCGUGUUGUGAAAUGUUGGGUUAAGUCCCGCAACGAGCGCAACCCUUAUCCUUUGUUGCCAGCGGUCAGGCCGGGAACUCAAAGGAGACUGCCAGUGAUAAACUGGAGGAAGGUGGGGAUGACGUCAAGUCAUCAUGGCCCUUACGACCAGGGCUACACACGUGCUACAAUGGCAUAUACAAAGAGAAGCGACCUCGCGAGAGCAAGCGGACCUCAUAAAGUAUGUCGUAGUCCGGAUUGGAGUCUGCAACUCGACUCCAUGAAGUCGGAAUCGCUAGUAAUCGUAGAUCAGAAUGCUACGGUGAAUACGUUCCCGGGCCUUGUACACACCGCCCGUCACACCAUGGGAGUGGGUUGCAAAAGAAGUAGGUAGCUUAACCUUCGGGAGGGCGCUUACCACUUUGUGAUUCAUGACUGGGGUGAAGUCGUAACAAGGUAACCGUAGGGGAACCUGCGGUUGGAUCACCUCCUUA
rnacentral:rRNA from 1 species